rnacentral:lncRNA from 1 species
CGCACAUGUGUCCGACCUCUAUGGGUAUCCAUCGAGAUCUAUUUCAAACUUCUUUCUUCUCGUAGAAGAUUCUUUUUCUUAAGAAGAACCUUGAUCUUGAAGACUUUGAUCAACUCCUUCAAUCUUAACUGCGAGAUCAACUCUUUGAUCUGCAACCUUCUUCUUCUUCUCCUCGAUUUACAAUCUCCAAGUCACCAACACUGCUUUUGAGCGUGUGGAAGAGAGGCACCCAACUUUUGGAUGUGGAAAGGAAGAGAGGGGGGAGAGG